rnacentral:rRNA from 1 species
AUUGAACGCUGGCGGCAGGCUUAACACAUGCAAGUCGAGCGGGGUGAUGGUGCUUGCACUAUCACUUAGCGGCGGAUGGGUGAGUAAUGCUUAGGAAUCUGCCUAUUAGUGGGGGACAACAUCUCGAAAGGGAUGCUAAUACCGCAUACGUCCUACGGGAGAAAGCAGGGGAUCACUUGUGACCUUGCGCUAAUAGAUGAGCCUAAGUCGGAUUAGCUAGUUGGUGGGGUAAAGGCCUACCAAGGCGACGAUCUGUAGCGGGUCUGAGAGGAUGAGCCGCCACACUGGGACUGAGACACGGCCCAGACUCCUACGGGAGGCAGCAGUGGGGAAUAUUGGACAAUGGGGGGAACCCUGAUCCAGCCAUGCCGCGUGUGUGAAGAAGGCCUUAUGGUUGUAAAGCACUUUAAGCGAGGAGGAGGCUCUUUUGGUUAAUACCCAAGAUGAGUGGACGUUACUCGCAGAAUAAGCACCGGCUAUCUCUGUGCCAGCAGCCGCCGCAG